rnacentral:rRNA from 1 species
AACGAACGCUGGCGGCAGGCUUAACACAUGCAAGUCGAGCGCCCCGCAAGGGGAGCGGCAGACGGGUGAGUAACGCGUGGGAACGUACCCUUUGCUACGGAAUAGCUCCGGGAAACUGGAAUUAAUACCGUAUGUGCCCUACGGGGGAAAGAUUUAUCGGCAAAGGAUCGGCCCGCGUUGGAUUAGCUAGUUGGUGGGGUAAUGGCCUACCAAGGCGACGAUCCAUAGCUGGUCUGAGAGGAUGAUCAGCCACAUUGGGACUGAGACACGGCCCAAACUCCUACGGGAGGCAGCAGUGGGGAAUAUUGGACAAUGGGCGCAAGCCUGAUCCAGCCAUGCCGCGUGAGUGAUGAAGGCCUUAGGGUUGUAAAGCUCUUUCACCGGAGAAGAUAAUGACGGUAUCCGGAGAAGAAGCCCCGGCUAACUUCGUGCCAGCCGCCGCAGUAA